UACGUAGGGUCCAAGCGUUGUCCGGAUUUAUUGGGCGUAAAGAGCUCGUAGGCGGCUUGCUAAGUCGGGUGUGAAACCUCCAGGCUCAACCUGGAGCCGCCACCUGAUACUGGUAUGGCUAGAGUCCGGUAGGGGACCACGGAAUUCCUGGUGUAGCGGUGAAAUGCGCAGAUAUCAGGAGGAACACCGGUGGCGAAGGCGGAUCUCUGGGCCGAUACUGACGCUGAGGAGCGAAAGCGUGGGGAGCGAACAGG
rnacentral:rRNA from 1 species